AUAAACUUAUUUUACAAAAUAAUUUCGUCUUUUAGUCUUGAAUAAAUCAUUGAUUUUUAUGAUAUAGUGAAAAAAAUAACACGCUGUAUCGUGUCCAUAAUCAUACUUUUUUUGGGACUUAAUCCAUUUUAGUAUAUUAAGCACCCAAUAAAGUAAUAACUGAAGAAUUCCUUUAAAUAUUAUGAAUUGUUCAUUUAAUAUUAUGUUGUUUAUAAAUCAUAAUUAAAUUAAAUUGAAGUAAAAUAUAACUAAAUAAAUAAUUAUAUUAUGAAAAACUAUUUUAUUAUUGUACGCACUUUUGAAUUGAUGUUUUCCAAUGAGUACAACUUGAGUGUUCGCGCCGAGCAAUAAAAUUAUCGCUGCUUAUCGCGCGACAUCUUACUCCUCGUCUAUCCACCAUUCUGUCCUGUAACUUGUUUUAUAUGAUUGUAUAAUUGUUAUUUAAUGUAUGCUCUUUGUUUUGUCUUUUGUGUUAUAAUCAUUGUUCGUUCGUUGGUCUCGCCAUUAUCAAUGUUAUUGUUUUGAUUUUCGUGAUAUCUUUAAUGCGGCCAACGCCCUAUUAUUAUUACUAUUAUUAUUAUCUUUUUUCGUAUUAUUAUUGGCGUCGCACUGACUACUAGCUGCGGCCGCCCUGUUCUUUUCGUUACCUUAUUUUAACUUGUUGAUCUGCUAUUAAAGCGAUCAUCCGUUUUUUACUAUGUAUCAUUAUGUGUAACCCGCUAAUAAAGCGAGCACCAAUUAUGUAUCAUCACUCAAUCAGAUAUAAUUUGAACUGAUCAAUUAUUGAGUCUUGCAGGAGGCCUACGAAGUACCAUCAAUAAUUGCACGUGACCUCCAAACGUAUGUGUUCAUAGAUAUAUCACUACUCAUAUGAAUAUUAUUAAAAUAGUUCACAUUAAAAGCAUUAACAGCGUUGUGUGGUCACAGAGAUGACAACGACCAGAUAGGCAAGGGACAUCCGGUGAGUGCAGCACGUGGCCGCCCACGGUAUGACCUUAUAUGGUAAAAGUAGUAGGGUACUCAGCAGGGAUACGAUCCAAG